ACKGCUCAGUAACACGUGGCUAACUUACCCUCAAGACGGGUACAACCUCGGGAAACUGAGACUAAUAUCCGAUAGACGGGGAGACCUGGAAUGGUCCCUCGCCCAAAAGGAACUAGUGGCAUGCUUGCUAGUUUCGCUUGAGGAUAGGGCCGCGUCCGAUCAGGUCGCUGGUGAGGUAACGGCUCACCAAGCCUAUAACCGGUACGGGCCGUGAGAGCGGUAGCCCGGAGAUGGGCACUGAGACAAGGGCCCAGGCCCUACGGGGCGCAGCAGUCGCGAAAACUUCGCAAUAAGCGAAAGCUUGACGGGGCCAUCCCGAGUGCCAUCUGCUGAGGAUGGCUUUUACCUAGUAUAGAUAGCUGGGGGAAUAAGGAGAGGGCAAGUCUGGUGUCAGCCGCCGCGGUAAUACCAGCUCUCCGAGUUGUGGGGAUGUUUAUUGGGCCUAAAGCAUCCGUAGCUUGCUGAGCCAGUCCCCUGUUAAAUCCAACGAAUUAAUCGUUGGUGUGCGGGGGAUACUGCUUGGCUAGGGGACGAGAGAGGCAGACGGUAUUUCCGGGGUAGGGGUGAAAUCCUAUAAUCCCGGGAAGACCACCAGUGGCGAAGGCUGUCUGCUAGAACGCGCCCGACGGUGAGGGAUGAAAGCUGGGGGAGCGAACCGGAUUAGAUACCCGGGUAGUCCCAGCUGUAAACUAUGCAGGCUAGGUGUUUGGGCGGCCACGUGCCGCUCUAGUGCCGCAGGGAAGCUGUUAAGCCUGCCGCCUGGGGAGUACGGUCGCAAGAUUGAAACUUAAAGGAAUUGGCGGGGGAGCAC
rnacentral:rRNA from 1 species